rnacentral:rRNA from 1 species
UACGUAGGGGGCAAGCGUUGUCCGGAUUUAUUGGGCGUAAAGCGCGCGCAGGCGGUCUGCCAAGUUCGGAGUGACAGUUUCCGGCUUAACUGGGAAAGGUCUUCGAAAACUGGUGGACUUGAGAACUUGAGGGGGAGACGGAAUUCCGGGUGGAGCGGUGAAAUGCGUAGAGAUCCGGAGGAACACCGAAGGCGAAGGCAGUCUCCUGGCAAGUUUCGUGACGCUCAGG